UUCCAUCCACUAAUCAGAUCCCUGGCUGCGCGCAUUUCGUCAGCCGGUAUUUCCUGUUUGUCAUACCGGGGUUUCGGCUUGGCGGUGGCUCCUUCCACAACCAGUCCACUGGAGCAGUCAUGGUGAAGAUUUUCAUCGGGAACCUGUCCCAGCACGCCGGGAAGGACGAGGUGGAGGCGCUGUUCGCCCAGUACGGCACAGUGACAGAGUGUGCCAAGUACAAGAACUAUGCUUUCGUCCACAUGGAAGACCGCAAGUGUGCCACCAAGGCCAUCCGUGAGCUGCACCUCCACAAGCUGAACGGCAGGCCCAUCAAUGUGGAGCUCAGCCGGGGGAAGAACCAGGGGCCGGUGAAGCUGCACGUCGCCAAUGUGGAAAAGGGGUUCGAUGAGGAGCUCCGCACCCUCUUCGAGGAGUACGGCACCGUCACAGAGUCCGCCAUCAUCAAGGACUUCGCCUUUGUGCACAUGUCCGACUCGGAUGAGGCCAUGGAUGCCAUCAAGGGUCUGGAUAACAUCGAAUUUCAAGGAAAGCGCAUUCAUGUUCAGAUAUCAAGAAGCAGACCCAGAGGACCACCUGAGGAGGAGGCCUAUCCACCGCCGCCCGGCCGAGGAGACUACUAUCCUCCACGCUACCCAGGCAUGGGGCCCGAGCCUCCCUACAGGGGGCGCAUGUCUGCUUACCCUCCUCCGCCUCCGCCGCCCCCUCCCCCGAGACGAGCGCCGUACCCCGACCGGGGCUACGGUGAGCGAGUCGAUUAUGGGGUGGUCGACUACUACGAGAAAUUCAGAGCCCGUCCUAUGGGCAACGAUGACAGGCGUGCCAUCCCCCCUCCUCCGCCUCCCCCCUCGGCGCUGGUCAGAGAGCGUCUUGGGAUGGGGUCGUUCGAUCCGUAUGAGCGGCGCCCGCCCCAAUAUGCUCCUCCGUCCUACAUGGCCAGAGACCGAAGCCCCAUCAGAAGAGCACCCCCACCCCCUGCUCCAUCCGCAGGUAACGGGUUCUCCUAUGAGCGGGCCCGGCUCUCUCCGAUGUCCAGAGCGCCGAUGUAUGGAGCUCCCCGUCCCAGGGACUCCUACAUGGAGAGGCCGCCUCCCCCGCCACCACCACCACAACAACAACCUCGCUAUGCCGGCUAUUAGGCACCAGAGAGUACAACACAAGGUUGUUAGACUCUAGGCAGGAGAUCCCAGCUCAGGGUAAGUCAUCCUCGGAAGAUGACCUGCACCCUGACGAAGAGGGAGAUAUUGCUCAAACGGGAUUUUGUCUGCUAGGUGGGGCGACUAUAAUGUGUCUUUAUGGGUUUGGCAGAGUACACGGGAUGAGACGAUCCUGUGGUCAAAGGAAGCUGACGUAGUGCGGUGUGGUCCAGUGUUUGGUGACCUGGAGUGAAGAAGAAGAAGAGAACCUGCGUGCCUGCAUCAGCUGAUCAUAACUCCAGAAUAAAGGGCUUGGUGACCACAUGGGAAACGUUCGGCUUUCAACAGUCAAUAUAAAAUGUCUGCAUCGAAAGCUGAGGCCACACAGCAGGCCGAGACGCUUCAUGGGACAGCGGUGCAGACGACGGGGAUGGAGUCAUCUACAGUGGACAAUCCGGGCUAAGCUGCCUCACUUGGACAUUUCUCGGCUGUGCGCCACAACUGUAACCUGCCACGGGUGAAUGAGCUGGACUUGUACUGUCGGGGGUCCACGGCAAGCCUCGUCCUGGUCGCACCGUAAAAUCUCCACCCACUCGGUCAGCGUCUGAGAACUGGGAGAGAAAACGGCGCUGCUCAGAACGAGGGGCGCUCAAGACGGAGCAGCUUGAGUCCCCCCCACCACCCCACAGUGCACCACCUGCACUGCGUUCCUCUCCACUGACUCUUUCACUUAAGAUUCAGGCAAAAGAAUGUAAUACCUCUUGAAAAAGUAUUAUAUAUGAACUUUGAUAAGCACUGAACUCUGAAUCAUCUCCUUGACAUUCUUCCCAGAGGGGUGGGACUCUGACUGGAAGGAGGACAACUACCUGUUACUCACUUUUAGAGCGUUAAUCUCAUUUACAGAUUGAUGGAGGGCGGCUACUGAAAAUGGCCAGAAAAAUGGAAAGCUGCAUGAGGAAAAUGUAACAAAGUUGAAUCGACUUGAGCAGGACUCCAUAACAGAGGGCAACAUGUAACCACAGCCAACAACUCCUAUUCAUACGCAAAUAAACCACAAUGAAAUAAAAAGUGUGGGACUCCACGUCUAUUACCAGUUUUA